rnacentral:rRNA from 1 species
GUCGAGCGAACAGACGAGGAGCUUGCUCCUCUGACGUUAGCGGCGGACGGGUGAGUAACACGUGGAUAACCUACCUAUAAGACUGGGAUAACUUCGGGAAACCGGAGCUAAUACCGGAUAAUAUAUUGAACCGCAUGGUUCGAUAGUGAAAGACGGUUUUGCUGUCACUUAUAGAUGGAUCCGCGCCGCAUUAGCUAGUUGGUAAGGUAACGGCUUACCAAGGCGACGAUGCGUAGCCGAACUGAGAGGGUGAUCGGCCACACUGGAACUGAGACACGGUCCAGACUCCUACGGGAGGCAGCAGUAGGGAAUCUUCCGCAAUGGGCGAAAGCCUGACGGAGCAACGCCGCGUGAGUGAUGAAGGUCUUCGGAUCGUAAAACUCUGUUAUUAGGGAAGAACAAAUGUGUAAGUAACUAUGCACGUCUUGACGGUACCUAAUCAGAAAGCCACGGCUAACUACGUGCCAGCAGCCGCGGUAAUACGUAGGUGGCAAGCGUUAUCCGGAAUUAUUGGGCGUAAAGCGCGCGUAGGCGGUUUUUUAAGUCUGAUGUGAAAGCCCACGGCUCAACCGUGGAGGGUCAUUGGAAACUGGAAAACUUGAGUGCAGAAGAGGAAAGUGGAAUUCCAUGUGUAGCGGUGAAAUGCGCAGAGAUAUGGAGGAACACCAGUGGCGAAGGCGACUUUCUGGUCUGUAACUGACGCUGAUGUGCGAAGGCGUGGGGAUCAAACA